rnacentral:rRNA from 1 species
UUCGGUCUGGCGGCGAGUGGCGGACGGGUGAGUAAUGUAUCGGAACGUACCCAGUAGCGGGGGAUAACUACUCGAAAGAGUAGCUAAUACCGCAUACGCCCUACGGGGGAAAGGGGGGGAUCUUAUGACCUCUCACUAUUGGAGCGGCCGAUAUCGGAUUAGCUAGUUGGUGGGGUAAAGGCCUACCAAGGCGUCGAUCCGUAGCUGGUUUGAGAGGACGACCAGCCACACUGGGACUGAGACACGGCCCAGACUCCUACGGGAGGCAGCAGUGGGGAAUUUUGGACAAUGGGGGCAACCCUGAUCCAGCCAUCCCGCGUGUGCGAUGAAGGCCUUCGGGUUGUAAAGCACUUUUGGCAGGAAAGAAAUUGCAUGGGUUAAUACCCUGUGUAGAUGACGGUACCUGCAGAAUAAGCACCGGCUAACUACGUGCCAGCAGCCGCGGUAAUACGUAGGGUGCAAGCGUUAAUCGGAAUUACUGGGCGUAAAGCGUGCGCAGGCGGUUCGGAAAGAAAGAUGUGAAAUCCCAGGGCUUAACCUUGGAACUGCAUUUUUAACUGUCGAACUAGAGUGCGUCAGAGGGGGGUGGAAUUCCGCGUGUAGCAGUGAAAUGCGUAGAUAUGCGGAGGAACACCGAUGGCGAAGGCAGCCCCCUGGGAUGACACUGACGCUCAUGCACGAAAGCGUGGGGAGCAAACAG